rnacentral:rRNA from 1 species
GAUGAACGCUGGCGGCGUGCCUAAUACAUGCAAGUCGAGCGAACGGACGAGAAGCUUGCUUCUCUGACGUUAGCGGCGGACGGGUGAGUAACACGUGGAUAACCUACCUAUAGGACUGGGAUAACUUCGGGAAACCGGAGCUAAUACCGGAUAAUAUUUUGAACCGCAUGGUUCAAAAGUGAAAGACGGUCUUGCUGUCACUUAUAGAUGGAUCCGCGCUGCAUUAGCUAGUUGGUAAGGUAACGGCUUACCAAGGCAACGAUGCAUAGCCGACCUGAGAGGGUGAUCGGCCACACUGGAACUGAGACACGGUCCAGACUCCUACGGGAGGCAGCAGUAGGGAAUCUUCCGCAAUGGGCGAAAGCCUGACGGAGCAACGCCGCGUGAGUGAUGAAGGUCUUCGGAUCGUAAAACUCUGUUAUUAGGGAAGAACAUAUGUGUAAGUAACUGUGCACAUCUUGACGGUACCUAAUCAGAAAGCCACGGCUAACUACGUG